AGUUAUAGUCUUGAAACUCAAAGAAUUUGGCGGUGUUUUAGACCUUUCAGAGGAACCUGUCCCAUAAUCGAUAUUCCACGUUAAACCUGACUUAAUUUUGUAAUCAGUUUGUAUACCGCCGUCGUCAGAAUGUCCUUCCGAGGGAUUAAAUUUUCUUAAAUUUCUAUUAGAAAUGAUGUCAGGUCAAGGUGCAGUUUAUAAUUAAGAGGAGAUGGGUUACAAUAAAUUUAUUUAAUAAUGGAUCUUGAUUUGAAAAUUAAUUGGGUGAAAGUGGAUUUGAUUGUAAUUGAAUAAAUUUUGUUAAUUUGAUUUUGGCUCUGAAACAUGCACACAUCGCCCGUCGCUCUUA
rnacentral:rRNA from 1 species